rnacentral:rRNA from 1 species
CCUACGGGUGGCUGCAGUGGGGAAUAUUGGACAAUGGGGGGAACCCUGAUCCAGCCAUGCCGCGUGUGGGAAGAAGGCCCUCGGGUUGUAAAGCACUUUCAGUGAGGAAGAACGCCUGGUGGUUAAUACCCAUCAGGAAAGACAUCACUCACAGAAGAAGCACCGGCUAACUCCGUGCCAGCAGCCGCGGUAAUACGGAGGGUGCGAGCGUUAAUCGGAAUUACUGGGCGUAAAGCGCGCGUAGGUGGCUUGAUAAGCCGGUUGUGAAAGCCCCGGGCUCAACCUGGGAACGGCAUCCGGAACUGUCAAGCUAGAGUGCAGGAGAGGAAGGUAGAAUUCCCGGUGUAGAGGUGAAAUGCGUAGAGAUCGGGAGGAAUACCAGUGGCGAAGGCGGCCUUCUGGCCUGACACUGACACUGAGGUGCGAAAGCGUGGGUAGCAAACAGGAUUAGAUACCCUAGUAGUC